rnacentral:rRNA from 1 species
GACGAACGCUGGCGGCGUGCCUAAUACAUGCAAGUAGAACGCUGAAGGAGGAGCUUGCUUCUCUGGAUGAGUUGCGAACGGGUGAGUAACGCGUAGGUAACCUGCCUGGUAGCGGGGGAUAACUAUUGGAAACGAUAGCUAAUACCGCAUAAGAGUGGAUGUUGCAUGACAUUUGCUUAAAAGGUGCACUUGCAUCACUACCAGAUGGACCUGCGUUGUAUUAGCUAGUUGGUGGGGUAAGGGCUCACCAAGGCGACGAUACAUAGCCGACCUGAGAGGGUGAUCGGCCACACUGGGACUGGGACACGGCCCAGACUCCUACGGGAGGCAGCAGUAGGGAAUCUUCGGCAAUGGACGGAAGUCUGACCGAGCAACGCCGCGUGAGUGAAGAAGGUUUUCGGAUCGUAAAGCUCUGUUGUAAGAGAAGAACGAGUGUGAGAGUGGAAAGUUCACACUGUGACGGUAUCUUACCAGAAAGGGACGGCUAACUACGUGCCAGCAGCCGCGGUAAUACGUAGGUCCCGAGCGUUGUCCGGAUUUAUUGGGCGUAAAGCGAGCGCAGGCGGUUAGAUAAGUCUGAAGUUAAAGGCUGUGGCUUAACCAUAGUAGGCUUUGGAAACUGUUUAACUUGAGUGCAAGAGGGGAGAGUGGAAUUCCAUGUGUAGCGGUGAAAUGCGUAGAUAUAUGGAGGAACACCGGUGGCGAAAGCGGCUCUCUGGCUUGUAACUGACGCUGAGGCUCGAAAGCGUGGGGAGCAAACAGGAUUAGAUACCCUGGUAGUCCACGCUGUAAACGAUGAGUGCUAGGUGUUAGACCCUUUCCGGGGUUUAGUGCCGUAGCUAACGCAUUAAGCACUCCGCCUGGGGAGUACGACCGCAAGGUUGAAACUCAAAGGAAUUGACGGGGGCCCGCACAAGCGGUGGAGCAUGUGGUUUAAUUCGAAGCAACGCGAAGAACCUUACCAGGUCUUGACAUCCCUCUGACCGCUCUAGAGAUAGAGCUUUCCUUCGGGACAGAGGUGACAGGUGGUGCAUGGUUGUCGUCAGCUCGUGUCGUGAGAUGUUGGGUUAAGUCCCGCAACGAGCGCAACCCCUAUUGUUAGUUGCCAUCAUUUAGUUGGGCACUCUAGCGAGACUGCCGGUAAUAAACCGGAGGAAGGUGGGGAUGACGUCAAAUCAUCAUGCCCCUUAUGACCUGGGCUACACACGUGCUACAAUGGCUGGUACAACGAGUCGCAAGCCGGUGACGGCAAGCUAAUCUCUUAAAGCCAGUCUCAGUUCGGAUUGUAGGCUGCAACUCGCCUACAUGAAGUCGGAAUCGCUAGUAAUCGCGGAUCAGCACGCCGCGGUGAAUACGUUCCCGGGCCU